AAAGCAUGAAUGAGGAAUUUCACUCUGCCCCACUAACUGUUGCAAUAGCUGACAGAAUGUACUGACACGAAGGCGUGUUCGUGACAAGCCUGCAGCGCUGCAGUAUGUGAAGGCGUGCUGCUGCUCUGCCCUACGAGCUUCUCUAAGACUGAGACGCAGUGGCACUUCCUCCUGCCCCCCUCCUGCUAAAGCACGAUAUACCCGUCCAGCAAGGUGUUUGGCAGCAUGGAAGCCGGCUCUUACCCGCUGUAUCAUAGAGGUUCAAGACGAUUUCUC